UUGUGUACGGGAAUUAUAUAAUAAACCCGAAAAUAUAUAAUUAAUCCCAUAUUGCGAGUGUCAAAUUAAUUAAAACGUCAACAAAAUGUGUUACGCUUCAUAUUUGCUACCAGCCGCCGUCAAAUGUCAGACGUCAGUAACGGCGAGCAGAAACAAAACAUCAAACUACAGCGAGUGUGACCAGCCAAAAACUAGCAGCCAGCAACCAGCAGCCAUCGGUUGGGCGCACCACCCGAAAUGAAGCAAUAUUUCAACACAACAUAUGCACAGGCUAUUGUUGUUGCUUUUGUUGUUGCCUUUGUUGUGCUACAUACUCGUACAUCGUACAGUAGAAAGAAUAUAAAAGUGAAUCUAACACAAAAACCAACAGGAUUUGACCAAAUAUAACAAAUUUUAUUCACUCGCUCGUUGACAAACUGUCAAAAAACCAAAAAAAAAAAAAACAAAAUAAACGAGAAUAUUCGGCAACGAAUUAAAUGCAGUUGAGAGAAUUGAGAAAUGCAUGCAUAACCGUACAUAUGAUACAAACAUACAUAUAUGUACAUUCAUGCUGUCGGCGGUCACCGCUGUUGAUGUUCCUAAAAUGGGGUCUCUAAGCAAAUAAAUUGUGGAAAAUAUAGAAUUACAAAAUUUCUGUUUGGAAAAAAAUUGUGUCUGUUCAAAAAUAAAUAAAAUGAAUCAUAAAAAACAGGCGUAAAUUACAAACAAUUGCAACGGUAUAUGCAUUUCAGAUGUGUGUGUGUGCGUGUGUGUGAUGAGAUGAUGGAAGAGAUGCCAUCAUAAUUCACGUCAACCGACGGCGGCAAUCCGUCAUUGUGGACAAUAACUAGUGACAUUACAACGAGUUGGUCAUAACUACCGUUGUUUGUUGUUAUUAUUAAUAUAUAUGUACAUACAUAUUUUUUUUAUAAAUUAGACACAAUGCUAAGUGCUGUAAAAUGAAACGGAGAAAUAUUUUACAUUUGACAAAUUUGAGGGUUCGUUAAAUUUGUGUAAAAGAAGAACAAAAAAUUAUGAAAAAAAUUUGAAAAAAUUUCGAAACGAAUUAAUACGAAAGUUGUAGUUUCGAAUUCGGUUAAAAAGAAUAAAAUUUUAUAUGAAUUUUUGAAUAUGUAAAUCGCAUCUUUCUCACUUAUUAUAUUGAGGGAUUUUUUUGGCCAGACCUAAAGACUCUAAGUCCCUUAAACCAAAGGAAGCAGAUGCAGUUCAGAAGGGCUUGCGGAGAAGGAAAUAAUCGCUCGGCGACGGAAACGCAGCCGAAUAUACACGAAAGAUGGAUCAGGACGGUAUGCAAUGGGUUAACAGCUAGCAAGAUCGUCGAGAUCAAAUUCUAAAGGCAGCGAAGGCCGUUACAGCCACCCGGUUCAAAUCUUGGUGUCGGACUGACAUCCAAAAAUUGCGGUCCGCCCUCGGCAGGGAAUGUCAGCCCCUUCGACAUGACAUGAAAAAAGGCUCGUCAUGAAAACGGAUCAGCCACUCGGAGGUGGCUUAGUAUAUAUUGUAGGUCCCUCCAUUUGUUGAAUGAAGGAGGAGCUCGGCGAAAAAUUGCUUCAGCGGUUACAAAACGCCAAUUAUAUACAUAUAUACAAUAUAUAACAAAAAUACAUACAUGCAGAAGGUAAAGGGAAACAGGUAAGAGUGAGACGUUAGAACACCUCGUCUAUUUCUGAGACUUCGCAGUUCAGAGAACUAAUAGAAGUCACAAAUAUAGAUAAGCCAGAAGCGUUGAUAUCAUAUAUGGAUUUGACUGGACCUCAACCUGGCAUUGCUAAGCACCAACAGUACUUUACACAACGUAGCAUCCAGGCAAUGUAGCCUAACCUAACCUAAUAUAUAUGUAUCUCUCGUUCUAUGAGUGCAAUGGGAAAAAUGAUAUUUUGGUUUCAAGAAAAAGACAAAGGGAGAAUCUUUGAUCACUUAACUCAGUAGUAUUUGAGGGCAUGUCAAAGAUGAACUACUAUAUUCUACCAUUUUUCCUCGAUUAAGGCGAGUACGCAAGUCAGGAUACUUUAACAGCCAAUGAUGCACCCAUUUCCUUCCGAUGUGGAAGCUUCAUUGCCAAAAAGAUCAUAAAAUACUGAAAAUCGUCGAGUUAGGCUGUUAUUCGUUACCUCAGAGCUAAAUAUUGAAAAAAAAAUAGUUUUUAGCCAGUUGACAAGGGCUGGAUACACUAACAAGCUCGAUGUAUAUGUGCUAAAAUCUCUGAAUAUCUGCUAAAUCGCAAAAAAAAAUCGAUCCAUUUCGGAAGCAGAUGGUGAAUGGUGAUGAAAAGUUGAUCACUUAUAGCAACGUGAAGAGAAAUUGGUCUUGGACAAAGGGCAGUGAGACAGCGCAAACGGUCUCCUAGCCAGGAUUUGCCUUCCUGACCAUCUUUUGUUGUGUGUUUGGUAGGCUUGGCAAGGAAUCAUUCACUUCGUACAACUCUCCUACGGCCAAACUCUUUAUUCGUAUCGAUGAAACCAACUACCGCAAAUAAAGCCUUGCAUUUAAUGCAAAAAUAAUGGACGGAUUUUUCUUUAACAAUAUUACCUCGCAUUUAACUGAGUUUUUGUUCAUUCAGUGAAAUCGAAUUCCUAAGUUUUAAGCCCAGAACACUACACUGAUCUCAACCAACGAACCACAAGUCUCUCUUAAAGGAACCUUGUCGUCGAAGUAUAGUCAUAUACUCAUCGUAGGCUGGGUACCGAUACCGAAGACUAGCGCCUUAAUUCUGCCUUCUAAGCAAUAUUGGGACUCUACUUAUCGUAGCAAUCGGGCACCCGCUUUAAUAAACUAGUUCAUCUGCUUUCUAUUCUGUAGCAAAGCAUUAAUUGGCCAUCACAAGAAACAAAGUGAUUAACUGAACUGAAGAGAUGAGCGGGCAAAGGCCACUGAGAAAAUAUACCACUGGAAAGCGCUCAGACCUUCCAGCACCUUCAAAUGCUUUCAAGGAAAGCAAUAAGCCCGCUGGAACAACUCUAACGUAGAACAAGCUUUUAACUUGGAUUGUAGUCAAUCUAAAAACUACUUUUCUGACUGAUUACUGAGAUUUUAUAUACAGAAACUAUUAAUAAUUUGUGCUUCAAAAGUUCCAUCUUAGGAAUAUUGUGGGAGAAAAGGUGCAAGCUUUCGGACAGUCUAAGAAAACUAUUAAUGAACGUGUAGUUGGGAGAACACUAUGGAAGCAAUGAGCUAACUUAAUGAAUGUACUUAAGCCAGAUAAUGUCCAGAAUUUUGGCGCUAAUGUGAAUUUGGAUUCUUUAAUCAUUUAAUUCAAAAUAUUUUUUAAUCUACCGACUCUCCAAUAAUGUUCUAGUAAUGCAAAUCUGAUCAGCUGGUUGGUGACUUUCUCUUCUCCAUUUGUUUUCGAAAAGCCUGACUGAUCGAGUACCGAAACUUGGGGAGUUUUCAAUAGUUGAAUGAAGAAUUAAGUCUACGAUUCUCAACUUUGCAGGACGAGUGCCUAUCUUGUUCAUUGUUAAAGUUUUGUAUGCGGAAAAAAGUGGUUCGAGAUUGAGGUUAGUCCCUUUUAGGCCAGCAAUGCGGUCGGAGAAGUCAACCUAAAAAGUCAACAAAAAACAGCAAUUUUCGCAUAAAACACUGCUCCAGUUUUUUACCAAUUUUGGUGCAAAUUUUUUGUGUUACUCCAAGGGAACCGAUCGUCCUUCAUGCUUUCCACACUUAUGCCAAUAACACAUUUUUUUCUACAGAAACGAAAAAACGACACUAAAAAUGCAGACUUGCAAAAGACAACACAAAAAGCGGGCAAAAAAUAAAUCAAAGAACCAUAAAAAUAUGGAUCUAGUUCAGGUCAGCCGCGUCCAUCAACGAGAAAAUCAGCGUGAAAAGUGGCAGCGUAAAGACUAUGCACGGCUGUCAGCGACUGCAGUGAAACAAAACCGCGCACAAAAGACGGGAGGCACAAAACAAAAAAAAAAAAA